GACGAACGCUGGCGGCGUGCUUAACACAUGCAAGUCGAACGGGCCCGCCCCUGUUUUUGGGGGUGGGUUGAGUGGCGAACGGGUGAGUAUCACGUGAGUAACCUGCCCCCUGCUCCUGGAUAACUGCUUGAAAGGGCGGCUAAUACGGGGUGUGCCGGCUGGUCCGCAUGGGCCUGGUCGGGAUAGUUUCAUCUUCGGGUGUUUCGGUGGGGGAUGGGCUCGCGGCCUAUCAGCUUGUUGGUGGGGUGAUGGCCCACCAAGGCGGUGACGGGUAGCCGGCCUGAGAGGGUGGGCGGCCACACUGGGACUGAGACACGGCCCAGACUCCUGCGGGAGGCAGCAGUGGGGGGUAUUGCACAAUGGGCGGAAGCCUGAUGCAGCGACGUCGCGUGAGGGAUGGAGGCCUUCGGGUUGUGAACCUCUUUCUCCGGUGGUGAAGGCCCUGUCCGUUGCGGCGGGGUUGACGGUAGCCGGGUAUGAAGCGCCGGCUAACUACGUGC
rnacentral:rRNA from 1 species